AUUGGAACACCAACAGGGAAGGCUGAGGAACCAGAGGAACAAAAACUAGCUACAAUGUUUCGAGAGCAACAAAAGAGUUGUCUAUAAGCUAGAAUGGAAUCAGCAAUUCCUACGGAGUUUGGAGGACCUAAAAGAGAAUCAGAGUUCAUCUUACUGAUGAACAAAGUGACCUUAGAAAAGAAAUGGCCAGGUUGCAAACAAAACUUAUGAAGGAAACUCUGCAGCAAGACUUGGCACUUAUUCAUUUGUCUCUUCUACCUGUGUUACUCUUGUGACUGAAGAAAGAACUUGAACCAAUGUAUAAUGGUUAAUAUUGAGCAUCAACAUGAUAGGAUUGAAGGAUGCAAAUUACUAUUCCUGGUGUGUCUGUGAGGGUGUUGCCAAAGGAGAUUAACAUUUGAGUCAGUGGACUGGGACAGGCAGACCCACCCUCAAUCUGGGUGGGCACCAUCUAAUCACCUGCCAGCCCAGCUAGAAUAAAGCAGGCAAGAGAAGAUGGAAGAGCAGACUUGCUGAGUCUUCCAGCUUUCAUUUUUCUCCUGUGCUGGAUGCUUCCUGCCCUUGAACAUGAGACUCCAAGUUCUUCAGCUUUUGGACUCUUGGACUUACACCAUUGGUUUGUCGGGGGCUCUCAGGCCUUUGGCCACAGACUGAAGGUUGAACUGUUGGCUUCCCUACUUUUGAGGUUUUGGGACUCAGGCUGAUCCACCACUGGCUUCCUUGCUCCUCAACUUGCGGCUGGCCUAUCAUGGGACUUGACCUUGUGAACCUGUAUCUUUGACUCUCCUCCCAGGACACAAGAGUGAUGUUAUGGACUUCUGAGGCUGGGACAUAAAAGGCCACAUGGCUUCUGCCUAGUUUGCCUGGGAUGUGCUCCCUUGGAAGCCACAUGCAGAGGUCACGUGUGUGCCGGCUGAUGACAGCAGCUGAUAUUCCAGCUGGCCCUCAGCAGCAACUGCCACAUGCUUGAGUGAAUGUCUUCAGGCAACCCUAGCCUCCAGCUGCUAGAUCACCUCUGAGACACUGAGGAACAGAUGAGGCUUCCCUGCUGAGCCCUGCUCUAACAGAUUUCUGAGCUAAUUGAUUGUUUUAUUACGUAUUAUUGAGGCACUAUAUACAACUGACCCACUUGAAGUGUAUAAUUUAAUGGUGUUUAGUGUAUUCUGAAUUGUACAACCACCACAGUCAAUUUCAGAGCAUUUUUAUCACCUCCCCAAAAGAAACUCUGUACUCAGUAGCAGUGAAUCUCCAUUUCCUCCCAAACUCCCUCUCAGUCCUAGGCAACCACUCAUCUACUUUCUGUGUCUAAUAGAUUUGCUUAUUCCAGAUACUUCAUAUAAAUGGAAUCAUACAAUA